GGCCAGUCUAACUCACUUUUGAGAACCUGCACUAAAAGAGGUAGGGGGUGGGGAAAACUGGGCAGGCCAGCGGGGGUGGGGAGUGGCAGCUCUGAGACCUGAAGCCUCAGAACCAGCUCUCCUCCUCCUCUUCCUCCUCAAGAUGGACCUCAGUUAACAUCAAGCUCCCUACUUACUGAACUCUGGUUCAGUCUUUUGGUCCCAGAGCUAAUUCUUUGGUUGUUUAAGGUUUAGCAUAGGAGACCCCAGAGCAGCAAGGUUCUGGCCCUGGUUCUGCCACUUGCCAGCUCCACGCCCUCAGAUCAGUGGCUUCAGAGCCUCAACGUGCUCAGCUGUGAAACAGGGACAGGGUGAGGCCUUCCCAGGAGUGAGCAGCUGACAGGGGAGCCACGAACAGCCUGGAGAGCUGAGCAUGGGCCUGCUCCACACUCCAGCGGGGCCCGAGGCCCCCGGGAACUCUACCCCUCCUGGCAGCCUCACAGAACCUGCUGCAUCCAUCUCAAAAGGCAUACCUCCUCCAGGAAGCCUUCCCCGCUGCUCAGAGGUCUUAAAUCCAGGGUCUGCACUCACAAACCGUGCAGCCUACACCAGCUUCUGGGGGACAGCAGAAUACUGUGGGGGGCCUGGCACAGUCCCUGGCACACGGUAGGCACUCAUCGAGCCCCUGCCAGCCCCUCUACUCCUGACUUCUGAGGCAACAGGAAAUGACCCGCCACCUGGUUCUCACAGAGCCUCCCUGCCAGCCCAGAUGGUCACAAGGGCCUCCUGGGAUGCUGCCCACCUUGGCAGCCAGGCCCCUCCGGAGGGGCCAGUCUGGGCCUGACACCCCCGAACACCAACCCCCUGGGCAGGGACUGCCUGUGCCUGGGUGAGGAACCCUGCAUUCUCCUUGCCACACAAGGCCUGGGUCUGCCUUGGGGCCCAGGCUGCACCCUCUCCGACCCCCAGGCCCAAUGCCUGACCUGUGCCCACCUGACUCAACCUGGC
rnacentral:lncRNA from 1 species